UCCUCCGUGGCGCAAUUGGCUAGCGCGUCUGACUGUUACCACAUGGUAGUAAUCAGGAGGUUAUAAGUUCGAGCCUUAUCGGGGGAG